AAAAGCUCGUAGUUGGAUCUCAGUUCCAGACGGGCGGUCCGCCUAACGGUGGUUACUGCCUGGCCUGAACAGCCAGCCGGUUUCCCUAGAUGAUCUUCACCGGUUGUCCUGGGUGACCGGCACGUUUACUUUGAAAAAAUUAGAGUGCUCAAAGCAGGCGUGUAGUCUGAAUAAUGGUGCAUGGAAUAAUGGAAUAGGACUUCGUUUCUAUUUUGUUGGUUUUCGGAACACGAGGUAAUGAUUAAGAGGGACAGACGGGGGCAUUCGUAUUGCGACGCUAGAGGUGAAAUUCUUGGACCGUCGCAAGACGAACUACUGCGAAAGCAUUUGCCAAGAAUGUUUUCAUUAAUCAAGAACGAAAGUUAGAGGUUCGAAGGCGAUCAGAUACCGCCCUAGUUCUAACCAUAAACGAUGCCAACCAGCGAUCCGCCUGAGUUCCUCAAAUGACUCGGCGGGCAGCUUCCGGGAAACCAAAGUGUUUGGGUUCCGGGGGAAGUAUGGUUGCAAAGCUGAAACUUAAAGGAAUUGACGGAAGGGCACCACCAGGAGUGGAGCCUGCGGUUUAAUUUGACUCAACACGGGAAAACUUACCCGGCCCGGACACUGGAAGGAUUGACAGAUUAAGAGCUCUUUCUUGAUUCAGUGGGUGGUGGUGCAUGGCC
rnacentral:rRNA from 4 species